rnacentral:rRNA from 1 species
GAUGAACGCUAGCGAUAGGCUUAACACAUGCAAGUCGAGGGGCAGCAUGGUCUUAGCUUGCUAAGGCUGAUGGCGACCGGCGCACGGGUGCGUAACGCGUAUGCAACUUGCCUCACAGAGGGGGAUAACCCGUCGAAAGACGGACUAAUACCGCGUACACUCCAUCUUGGGCAUCCAAGGUAGAGGAAAUGAAAUUCGCUGUGAGAUAGGCAUGCGUCCCAUUAGCUAGUUGGUGAGGUAACGGCUCACCAAGGCGACGAUGGGUAGGGGAACUGAGAGGUUGAACCCCCACACUGGUACUGAGACACGGACCAGACUCCUACGGGAGGCAGCAGUGAGGAAUAUUGGUCAAUGGGCGAGAGCCUGAACCAGCCAAGUCGCGUGAAGGAUGACUGUCUUAUGGAUUGUAAACUUCUUUUAGACGGGAAUAACAAGAGUCACGUGUGACUCCCUGCAUGUACCGUAUGAAUAAGCAUCGGCUAACUCCGUG